rnacentral:rRNA from 1 species
GACGAACGCUGGCGGCGUGCUUAACACAUGCAAGUCGAACGGGCGAGUAACACGUGGGUGAUCUGCCCUGCACUUCGGGAUAAGCCUGGGAAACUGGGUCUAAUACCGGAUAGGAGCCAUUUUUAGUGUGAUGGUUGGAAAGUUUUUUCGGUGUAGGAUGAGCUCGCGGCCUAUCAGCUUGUUGGUGGGGUAAUGGCCUACCAAGGCGGCGACGGGUAGCCGGCCUGAGAGGGUGGACGGCCACAUUGGGACUGAGAUACGGCCCAGACUCCUACGGGAGGCAGCAGUGGGGAAUAUUGCACAAUGGGCGCAAGCCUGAUGCAGCGACGCCGCGGGGGGGAUGACGGCCUUCGGGUUGUAAACUCCUUUCGCUAGGGACGAAGCUUUUUGUGACGGUACCUAGAGAAGAAGCACCGGCUAACUACGUG